rnacentral:piRNA from 3 species
CAGCUCCCUCGCUGCGAUCUAUUG